rnacentral:lncRNA from 1 species
UCUUCUCCUUUAAGCAUUUAUUUAUUUGAUUAUUUAUUUUUUUCUUUCUAAAUUGUAAAAAUUUGGACACAGUUUUCUUUUCCAAGCUUUGAUUAUUAAGUAUAAAAGAGUCAUUAAACUUUUUUAAAAUUCUAUCAUUAAAGGUAUCUUAAUUCUUGCAUAUUACACAAUUCUAAUAAAUAAAUAAAUAAAUAAAAUAAAAUAAAAAAAAACUUGAUGAUUUUUGGUAAAACAAGGUCACUUAGAUAAAACUAAAUAAAUAAAUAAAUAAAAAUAAAAUAAAAACAUCGUCCUAACAAUAUUGGUUGGAUUCAUAAUUUAUUUAAUUAUUUAUUUUAAUUUUUUAUUACUUAGAUUUGUUUGUAGAUAUUGUAUUAAAACCAUGUCCUAUCUUGCCUUUGUUUUGACAUAAGUUAAUUUCUUUCCAGUCAUUUAGUUUUGUAAAAAAAUUACUUAAAUCUAUUAUAUCUAAAAAAACUGUUUUAAUAAUUUGGUUUGUUAAAAACUUUGUUGUGAUAUAUUUCAUCUUUUAUUUUCCACUUAAUAAAAUCAUAUCCUUAACUUAUUAAAAACUUUAGGAAUAUUUUUUUCUAUAAAUGAUUUGAUUUUAAUAACUUACUUUGCAUUAAGACCAUUAAAACAUCCUUAUUAAAUAAUCUCUUGACUACCAAGUUUAGUUCUACCAAUUUUUAGUAUUAUAACAAAGGCAUAAUUAUCUUCUUAUAGCUUCUUAUAUCAAAACUCAUAAUAACAAUGUUACAUUAGGUAUUUUGAAAGCUAAUUUCUAUAAUAUAUAAAUGUUAGAAAUAGUUUUUGUAAUUAAUAUUGUUGGUUUUAAAAUUUUAUUAAUUUAUUAUAAAUUAUAUACUUAAAAAAUAAAAAAUAGAAAAAAAUACUGUUCCAUUAGUUGAGUAUAAUAAUAUUAAUAUUUUGUGGUUUUAAUCAUAUUAUUCUUAAUAGAUAAAAAAAAGUUUUUGAACUACAAAUACUAUCAACUUGAAGCUCAAUUUUUUAUCAACUACAUUUAAAAUUAAUGUAGAAUGUUUUUUUUGUAAAAUAUACAAUUUAUUGCAGGAUAUGAUAAAAAAGAAAAAAGAAAAAGGAAACAUAUACAAGUUUAUAUACUAGGUGGAAAAUGAAGAAACAAAAAGAAAUAAGUUUUAUUGAUGAUUAAUUUUAAAAAGACCAAAACUUUGAUAGUGUAACUUAUUUGACUAAAAAUUAUGAUUUUUAUUUUUUUCAAAUUUGAUUGCAUUUCAAUGAUAUAUUUUAUAAUCUCUUAUUUUCAAAAUUACUUGAUUUAAUAGGUGAAAAUUUAUAUAAAUAUUUUUAUUGACUUUAAAAUGUAUCGUAUAUAAAAAUAUACAUAUAUAGAUAAAAAAAAAUUAAUCAAAUAAUCCAAAGUUGGAUUACUGUUAAGUUUUAUGUAUUAAAAAACCGAUUGGUUUAAAGACAAGAAACACAAUUGAACACAUAUUUAAAAUUUUAAUUAUAUAUAUAUAUAUAUAUAUAUAUAUAUAUAUAUAUAUAUAUAUAGUACACAACACUUCUAAUGGAAAAAAUUAUAUACAAUUAUCUUAUUAAAAGUAAAUAGAUAAUUUAUAGCUCAUGCGUUAUAAAUGUAAAUAUUUUUUUUCAAAAAAAAUAAUUUUUAGCAACCAAUAUUUCUUAAAACAUUAUCUUAUUAUUUUAUUAAAAUCAAAAUGUCCCUGAUUAGGAACAUAGUUACAUGUUUAUACAAUAUAAGGUUCAAGGAUGUAAAAAACUAUAUUCAAAAACAAAGCGACCAUUACUAAAGUUCAAUUCAUUAUUUAACUGAAUAUUAUAGGUUUGUUUAUUCCUUCGAAAACAUUAUUAUGGUGUUGCCAAAAGUAAAUGUAAAAUUUUAUUCAGUUUUAAAUAUGUUAAUUUUCAGACAAAAAUAUUGCAUUUCUUUUCUUAAGUGCCAAGUAUAAUCUAUAUAAAGAGCAUGUAGAAUUUGAGAAAAGGAUACAAUUGCCUUGGAUCUUCAAGCAUUAAUACCCUCGUCGACAUAAAAACAUCCUCAAACAUCUUAAAUAAUAUUUGGCAUCAUUGACCCAUGUAAAUGUUUCUUUUUCUAUCAACCUUGUUAGUAGAGUCCCAAAUUCUAAAAGUUAUCAUAAAAUAGUUUGUAGAAGUUUGCAAAUUUUGAUAAUCAUUAUAAACGAGUCAAUAAAUAUUACAUAAAAAAUUAGUAGAGAUACUUAAGACCAUUUUUUUUAAAAAUAUUUUCCUCAUGUUUAUAUUUUUUAUGUUUGAAGUACACAUUGAAAUUUUAUGGAUUAAAAUUGAAAAAAGUGAAACACCUAAAUAAAGUAAAAAAUGUCAUUUUUUAAUAUUUUUUUUGAUAAUAUUAAUUUUAUUAGAUUUUGUAAUAAAAAUAUUCUAUUCUCAAUUACGUUCUGUAUAUUCCUUUUACUCAUGUGUUCUUAUAUAUACAUAUAUAAAAGAUAAACAGAACAAUUCUCAAACAAAAUUGGUUUUCACAUUGUAAUUAGUAUGAACAUAUCUUGUAGGAGAAGCCAUCUCUGCAAUAUCUUUCGAUUGUCAAUAAAGACUACAUUUAUUUUAUUAUAUUUUAUUAGUUCUUUGUACAAUGAUCUUAAUGCAAUAUGUGUUCUAUUCAACGUCUUUUCUACCAAUGCUCUCUAAGUAUUCAAUAUGACUUUGUUGCUUAAUAUCCAAUAAGUUUCCCAACCUUGAAUUCUUAUGUC